CUGGCUCAGGAUGAACGCUAGCUACAGGCUUAACACAUGCAAGUCGAGGGGCAGCAUGGAGUUGCUUGCAAACUCUGAUGGCGACCGGCGCACGGGUGAGUAACGCGUAUCCAACCUUCCCUAUAGUAGAGGAUAGCCCGGCGAAAGUCGGAUUAAUACUCUAUGUUUUCCGUUGCAGACAUCUAAGAUGGAACAAAGGCUUGCCGCUAUAGGAUGGGGAUGCGUCUGAUUAGGUAGUCGGCGGGGUAACGGCCCACCGAGCCAUCGAUCAGUAGGGGUUCUGAGAGGAAGGUCCCCCACAUUGGAACUGAGACACGGUCCAAACUCCUACGGGAGGCAGCAGUGAGGAAUAUUGGUCAAUGGGCGAGAGCCUGAACCAGCCAAGUAGCGUGCAGGAUGACGGCCCUAUGGGUUGUAAACUGCUUUUAUGGCGGGGAUAAAGUUCACUACGUGUAGUGUUUUGUAGGUACCGCAUGAAUAAGGACCGGCUAAUUCCGUGCCAGCCGCUGC
rnacentral:rRNA from 1 species